AGUCGAGCGGAUGACAGGAGCUUGCUCCUGAAUUCAGCGGCGGACGGGUGAGUAAUGCCUAGGAAUCUGCCUGGUAGUGGGGGACAACGUUUCGAAAGGAACGCUAAUACCGCAUACGUCCUACGGGAGAAAGCAGGGGACCUUCGGGCCUUGCGCUAUCAGAUGAGCCUAGGUCGGAUUAGCUAGUUGGUGAGGUAAUGGCUCACCAAGGCGACGAUCCGUAACUGGUCUGAGAGGAUGAUCAGUCACACUGGAACUGAGACACGGUCCAGACUCCUACGGGAGGCAGCAGUGGGGAAUAUUGGACAAUGGGCGAAAGCCUGAUCCAGCCAUGCCGCGUGUGUGAAGAAGGUCUUCGGAUUGUAAAGCACUUUAAGUUGGGAGGAAGGGCAUUAACCUAAUACGUUAGUGUUUUGACGUUACCGACAGAAUAAGCACCGGCUAACUCUGUGCCAGCAGCCGCGGUAAUACAGAGGGUGCAAGCGUUAAUCGGAAUUACUGGGCGUAAAGCGCGCGUAGGUGGUUUGUUAAGUUGGAUGUGAAAUCCCCGGGCUCAACCUGGGAACUGCAUUCAAAACUGACAAGCUAGAGUAUGGUAGAGGGUG
rnacentral:rRNA from 1 species